rnacentral:rRNA from 1 species
GAUGAACGCUAGCUACAGGCUUAACACAUGCAAGUCGAGGGGCGAUCAGUUUGGUUUGCUUGCAAACCAAAGACUGGCGACCGGCGCACGGGUGAGUAAACACGUAUCCAACCUGCCUCAUACUCGGGGAUAGCCUUUCGAAAGAAAGAUUAAUACCCGAUAGCAUAAUGAUUCCGCAUGGUUUCAUUAUUAAAGGAUUCCGGUAAAAGAUGGGGAUGCGUUCCAUUAGGUUGUUGGUGAGGUAACGGCCCACCAAGCCUUCGAUGGAUAGGGGUUCUGAGAGGAAGGUCCCCCACAUUGGAACUGAGACACGGUCCAAACUCCUACGGGAGGCAGCAGUGAGGAAUAUUGGUCAAUGGGCGCUAGCCUGAACCAGCCAAAGUAGCGUGAAGGAUGAAGGCUCUAAUGGGUCGUAAACUUCUUUUAAUAUAAGAAUAAAGUGCAGUAUGUAUACUGUUUUGUAUGUAUUAUAUGAAUAAGGAUCGGCUAACUCCGUGCCAGCCGCCGCCGU